rnacentral:ncRNA from 1 species
GAGAGCCAAAUGAAUCUUUCGAUUCAUGUUUGGUUCGGGAAGGGAUUAUGGAAGCUUUAAAAUGAACGAAAAGAUAAUCUACUUUCAU